GGCGAACGCUGGCGGCGUGCCUAAUACAUGCAAGUCGAGCGAACGGACGAGAAGCUUGCUUCUCUGAUGUUAGCGGCGGACGGGUGAGUAACACGUGGAUAACCUACCUAUAAGACUGGGAUAACUUCGGGAAACCGGAGCUAAUACCGGAUAAUAUUUUGAACCGCAUGGUUCAAAAGUGAAAGACGGUCUUGCUGUCACUUAUAGAUGGAUCCGCGCUGCAUUAGCUAGUUGGUAAGGUAACGGCUUACCAAGGCAACGAUGCAUAGCCGACCUGAGAGGGUGAUCGGCCACACUGGAACUGAGACACGGUCCAGACUCCUACGGGAGGCAGCAGUAGGGAAUCUUCCGCAAUGGGCGAAAGCCUGACGGAGCAACGCCGCGUGAGUGAUGAAGGUCUUCGGAUCGUAAAACUCUGUUAUUAGGGAAGAACAUAUGUGUAAGUAACUGUGCACAUCUUGACGGUACCUAAUCAGAAAGCCACGGCUAACUACGUG
rnacentral:rRNA from 1 species